CUUGCAUCUUGGAAAGAAUAAUACAAUAAGUUGUCAGGCUGUGUAUAGACUGUAUAGGUUGUGUGGUCUGAAUGUUCAUUUAACUUUCUUCCCCAAAAUAGACGACAUUUUAUCAGCAAUUCCGUACCAUUUCGACUGGCUUCCUUGGCCAGAGGUACUGCUUCCAAUCGCGUCAGGAAUGCUGUAAAAUGUUUCGGUCGCCGAGAGUAAAGGACAAAGUAUAAAUAUCACUAGUCUAUGUUGAAUUUUAACUAUGUGUUCGUUCAUCAAACUAUCG
rnacentral:lncRNA from 1 species